rnacentral:rRNA from 1 species
UACGUAGGGGGCAAGCGUUGUCCGGAUUUAUUGGGCGUAAAGAGCGUGUAGGCGGUCUGUCAGGUCUGCUGUGAAAACUCGAGGCUCAACCUCGAGAUGUCGGCGGAAACCGUCUGGCUAGAGUCCGGAAGAGGAGAGUGGAAUUCCUGGUGUAGCGGUGAAAUGCGCAGAUAUCAGGAAGAACACCUAUGGCGAAGGCAGCUCUCUGGGACGGUACUGACGCUGAGACGCGAAAGCGUGGGGAGCGAACAGG